rnacentral:ribozyme from 1 species
AAAAAAAAAAAAAAAAAAAAAAAAAAAAACGG